GGAAAUAGCUGUGGCUUAAUGGUAAGAGCAUCUGCUUUGCAUGCAUAAGGUCUCAAGUUCAGUUCCC